UAUGGUGCCGCCGCGGUAAUACGUAUGGUGCAAGCGUUAUCCGGAUUUACUGGGUGUAAAGGGUGAGUAGGCGGUCAUGCAAGUCAUAUGUGAAAUGUCAGGGCUUAACCUUGGCGCUGCAUAAGAAACUGUAUGACUAGAGUGCAGGAGAGGUAAGCGGAAUUCCUAGUGUAGCGGUGAAAUGCGUAGAUAUUAGGAAGAACACCGGUGGCGAAGGCGGCUUACUGGACUGUUACUGACGCUGAGUCACGAAAGCGUGGGGAGCAAACAGG
rnacentral:rRNA from 1 species